GCUGUAGCUCAGCAGUAGAGUAUGUGCUCCACAUGCAAAAGGUCCAAGGUUCAGUUCCUGGCAUCUCUA